rnacentral:rRNA from 1 species
UACCAGCACCCCGAGUGGUCGGGACGUUUAUUGGGCCUAAAGCAUCCGUAGCCGGUUCUACAAGUCUUCCGUUAAAUCCACCUGCUUAACAGAUGGGCUGCGGAAGAUACUAUAGAGCUAGGAGGCGGGAGAGGCAAGCGGUACUCAGUGGGUAGGGGUAAAAUCCUCUGAUCCAUUGAAGACCACCAGUGGCGAAGGCGGCUUGCCAGAACGCGCUCGACGGUGAGGGAUGAAAGCUGGGGGAGCAAACCGG